ACACAGGCAAUGUCGAUAUAAACUUACCGAUUUCUGCUUCUGCUUAGCUACAGCAGCAUGGAAAAGAAACAAAGAACAACAAAGCAUGCAUGUUAUUGGCUGGUCAAAGGACGCAGACAGUUAACAGGACUAGAAAUGCGACGCAGUGCAGAAAGCAAGCAGAUGCACAAAGUGAACCACAAACGUGUACAGCAUCACCCUGGUGUGAGAAGAUCUUACCCACCUCUCCACUCCCUCUGAUCUAAUGCCUUGAUGCCUGGCAUUCCCUGAGUUACUGUGCCUUUGUGCCUGCCCUUCCCAGGAAAAACUCAGUGAGUAGAUCCCCAUCCUGUUUCUAUAAUCCUGCUCCUAAAAACAGCCACAGAAAUCAUGUAACAUUUUCUUCUAGCAACACUCUUCCUUCAUCCUCUUCAUAAGUAUAAAAAGAACAUAUUAUCUUUUCUUGAAUACAGGCCAGCACAGAUGCUGUAAAUCACUCAUAAUAAGACACAUUAAAAACUCCUUCGGUUCUAUGUUCAACCAAAAUUGUCAGUAAAAAAUCAGGUACCUUAAGCUUUUCCUGUAAGAAAGAAAUGCAGAACUUGAUCAGCUAGAUACCAAUAUCUCCUUUUUCAUUCUCAGUCUUCACACUAUGUAACAUCUCCUGUUCUUUUACUGUAAACUAUCUUUAGUUCAUUGAGUUUUUUUCAGUCAUUUUCACCAUUAUUCUUAUGCUGUUUGAUGGCCCAUAAGGACUGUAUGGAUUGUUUACUAUAUCAAUAUUGAUUAUUUAAAUGGAUAUGAGCCUCCCUUUCAUUUGUUUUUCACUGGUUCUUCAUCUUAUUUUUGGGUUUGUUCUGGUUUGGUUUUUCUGUGGCACUAUUUUAUAUUGAAAAAGCCCAUCUCUGACUCGAAGUAAAAAAAUGAAACUAACUUAUUCAGUUAAUAUUCUUCAACUUAUUAAAUAAUUGAUGUAAUUGAUUAAACUUUCAAAAAGAGAAGGUGUAGGAAUAAUAAUUGAAUUGUGCUUCAAAGUCACUUGAAUUCUUGUUUUAGUCACAAACUAUGCCUCUUCUUCCAUCUCUUCAGGCCCCAGAUUUUCUACAAAGAAUUUGACCGGCACUGAGCCAAUGGCUGGUGGGGGAGGGGCUGCUGAAAUCUGCCUUCUAUUAGAGGAUACGUUCAUUUGGGACAUUUCCUCCAAUUUCUCUCAAACCAGGACAGCCUCUUUCACCUUUCUUCAGAUGUGUUAAGAUAAGCAAAAAAUUAUUGUAGACUCAAAAUCCAGCGAUCACAGAAAAAGCUAAUAUGAACUAUUCAUACAUAUUUUCCAACUCUUCACUGUAACUGAAUAAACUUUAACAGACUUCCUUCUUUCUCCAGAAAUCCAUAUUUCUUGAAAACCACUGUCUGAAGAAACGAUUCAAUGUAAUGAAUAUUACAGGAUGGGUAGCAGUCAGUCUGCUGGUAAUCUAGGUGUUAUCUGUGCUCUUAACUCUAAAUUCUGUGCAACAUUCUGGAAAUUUAUGUACUGAUCUUCAAGCGGUUUUUUUGACAGCAAAUAAUAUUACAGCAUUUCAUAUGCUUUAACUAUAAAAUUGCAACAUAGUUCCAUGGACAAUUUUAGUACAAAAAUGCAGUUGUUGAAAAAGUUGACCAUAACAGCAAAUGUGUCAGUGUAAAGCCAUCAUAAAACAAAAGAUUAAGAUGUGUUCUACACACCUGUGAUGGGCAUCUAUUGUAUUUUCAAACUAAAAGAGAACUUAAGUGAAACUGAGGUGCAAUUUUAAUAAACAAAAUGCAAUUGUAAUAAAGUUGGUAGUUAGUAACAAUCCAUGGUUUCACAAGACAGAGAUAUAUUUCAAUUAACUGAACCAAAUGAAGCCACUACCAUAACAUGAUUUAAUUUCUCUGUCUCCCUUUUAAAUGACCGAGUAAAUACUUCAAAAUCUUGAGGGUCAUUUUAAGACGCCUGCUCUGUAGGCCAGACUCCAUAUAAAUGAGUAUGAUUGGAAAAUACAUGUCUUUGCCCUAGAAUACAAGAAACUACCAACACUCAUUAAUAUUUUCUGCUUUCAGGUAUUCAAAAUGUAUAUGAGAAAAUAAAACAUCCAGCAACACAGCAGCUGAAUUCAGUAGAAAUUUUUUUUGUGAUCUUCUGUUAUGCUUUUUCUAUGGUGCUAAUGCCAGCAUCCUCCACCAGCUUGCCAUGUAUUUGCUUCAUACCACUUGAAUCCAACCUAACUAAAGUUAAAUCUAUAUGUUGAUGCUCUAAGUACAAAAUAGUAUUUGUGAAAAGUUUGUACAAGGCAAAAAAUAUCCAGUAUCCUAGAAUUAUGUGAAGCACAUCCUCAUGAUCAGAAUCGUGAAACUAAAUGUCCCUGAUGUUUUAAAAUAAUGCCUUUCUUGAUGCUACUGCAGAAACCUCUCAGGAACUUCUAUUUUUAUUGCUGCUUUUUCUCCUGUACCAGAAGGCAUUUACUGUUCAAUAGGAGUGCUCAGACCAGACCAAACCUUCCACUACCUACUGUAAUGUAGUCUCACAGAUCUGUUCUAUCUUUGCUACAAAGCUCCGUGGUAAAAGCAAAGAGGGAAUUAUGUGCAUUAACAGCCCUAUCAUUGCCUGAACUUGCUUGCAUCUACUCCAUUAUUUCAAAUCUAUCCAAAUCAGCCUUAUCUGGUAACACAACACUCAGGUUUUACCUUUGAAGAAUGGGGAAUAAGAAGAAUAGGUCUAAAGGUAUGUGAAUUUUAACAGAUUAGGUUGAUGAGUCUCUUUACCAAAGGGUUCACAACCUACUCACCAGAUGA